UGUGUGUGUGUGUGUGUGUGUGUGUGUGUGUGUGUUGGGUUGUCUAGGCACUCACACGGAAAGAAGUCAAAAGGGGAAUGAGUAUGUUAAAGGUUAGUAAAAGUGCGUUGAGUUGGAUGUUAAAGAGGAAUGAGUCUAAGGUGAAGAGUGAAGGAGAAUGAGUGUAUAAGGUAAGGAGCAAUGAAUAAUGUAUUGAGGUAAAGAGUGAAGGAGAAUGUAUUAAGGUAAGGAGUGAAGGAGAAUGUAUUAAGGUAAGGAGUGAAGGAGAAUGUAUUAAGGUAAGGAGUGAAGGAGAAUGUAUUAAGGUAAGGAGUGAAGGAGAAUGUAUUAAGGUAAGGAGUGAAGGAGAAUGUAUUAAGGUAAGGAGUGAAGGAGAAUGUAUUAAGGUAAGGAGUGAAGGAGAAUGUAUUAAGGUAAGGAGUGAAGGAGAAUGUAUUAAGGUAAGGAGUGAAGGAGAAUGUAUUAAGGUAAGGAGUGAAGGAAAAUGAGUAUAUUAAAGUAAGAAAUAAUGGAGAAUGAGUCUAUUAGGUAAAGAGUAAAGGAGAAUGAGUGUAUUUAGGUAAGGAGUAAUGGAGAAUGAGUCUAUUAAGAAAGGUAGAUGUGUGUUGAAUUGUCCACACACUUACAAUGAAAGAAGUCGAUGGAGAAUGAGAUUAUUAGGUUAAGUAUCCGUGUAACAUGGUAUAAUUAGCAUAUCAUUAGGCCACUAUUGAAAUGCUGCUUACGAGGGAUUAAUUAACAUAUCAAGGAAUAAUUAAGCGGAAAGCAGGCAAAGGAGAAUUAGUAUAGCGUCAAGCAUCUGGGCAACGCGGUAUUAUUUAGCAUAUCAUUAGGCGCCAACAGUUCAUCUCAAGUCCAUAUUCUCAUCUAAACAUUUCGGGGCUUCCUUACAGACCCACAUUUGGUAGAGUUUUCGUAGAGGUUGUUGUGUUAGUACCUCCGCGGGCAGGUAGUUUUAUGAGCCAAGGUUUCUUCAACACAGGAAUGCGAGAAACACUAAUGAGAACCCGAUCAAUCUUCUCUGUGGCCUUUGGAAAUAACUGUUGUGAGAUCCGAACGUGUCUGAGCAUACUGGCCACACAUACAAGUCACAGGUAACGAACAACAAAAGAACAUCAACACGGGGCGGUAUGCAGCACCCCAGCGCCUGCCAACCCUCGCGGCCUGAGCCAAUCCGCGGAGGCGUCAAGGGUGUCUGCGUAACGGUGUGGAUGACAACUUAUCACACGCCCCCGUUGUUUAGGAAGAGGAGGAGGUGGAGGGUUAAAAGGAGGAGGAGGAAAUGUGGAGCAGAAGGGGAGGAGGAGGUGAUGGCGGAGAAGGAAGAGGCAAAAUGAAGAGUAGAAGAAGAGGAA